UGUCAGGCUAUUUCAAUGUACCGUGAAUUGUUUUAUGCCAUUUUUUUUUAAAAGAGCGACAAUAUGCCAUGUAUCUGUUUAUUUGAGAGAAAUUGACGGGAUUCAGAAGUGGGGUACAGGCAGAGAGGAGGGACAGUCAUCCACCCAACCCUAAACUCCGAACCAAACGGAAAACCCGCGCUACCCUCCUGGGCGUGUGAGAAGAGCCCGGCCCAGGAGGGGCUGCGGGAACCUCAGACCAGAGCCGGGAAAGUGGCCACGAGCUCGCGGCGGCCCGCUCGCCCAGCAGGAAAGACCUGGAGGCCCCGGAGGUUGCUCAGGUUUCGGGGAGAAUGAACUGACCCAGCAGGAGAGUCCCGGUUGCUAGGGUGCGGGGCCCAGGACGCCCUCGGCGCCUCCAGACCCGGUGCCAGCUCGCCCAGCCUAGCCGUGGGAUGCCAGCGGGAGCCGCGGCGGGGAGCGCAGCGUCCGGCAGAACCGGGCCGCUAGGGACGAAACGCGGGAGCGGCCGCGGUCCCGGCUCCACGUCCUUCUCCCGGGCCAAGCCUCUCGGCCACCACCCGGGCUCCGGACGCCGCGGGGCGUCACUGGCGCGGGCUCCGCGGCCCGCCCUGGGUUCGAGCCUCUGGCCGGCCUCGACCGCGCUCCACCGCGCCCUGGGCUGGGGCGGCCCCUGGCGCUCUGCUCUUCGUCCGAGCGGGGUCUGGGGUGUGGCGAGCGCCCCAGACUCUCGCUCCCGCUUCGUCCGCCCGCUCCGGCCCGCCCAGCCCCGCUUCCCACAUAGAAUUCCAACCUGAACGUGUCUUUGGUCGUCUUUCUUGCUUCAUUUAGCGUUACUAUGCCUUUUGUUAAUGUUUUAUUUUUAUUUUUCCAAGUAGGUGUUUUAAAUCUGUUUCCAGGCGCACUCCCCCACCCCCAUCUCUCUCAUCCUCUUGCUCCCAAGUCCGGGCUCUUUGAUUUUUCCCUCCUCCCCACUUCAGGGACAAGACUCUCACGGAGACCUACAUACCGCAGCCUCUUCUGUGAGUGGCAAGGGAGAGCGGUCAACGAGGGACAACCUCACACCCACUCGCGCACCGGCGCUCAGUGGUCCCACACUUUACUCUCCCCCCACCCCCCACCCCCAGAGCACCUAGCACAUCCAGGCCGGUCUGCGCCACACUCUGCUCCAUUACAUGGACUCUGCUGAAUUCGGAAGACUGAACCACAGGGUGGGGGGAGCGCCGCUGAGCGCCACACAGAAAGGCCCACUGGCUAGUCCUGCUUCCUCUGGCCUAGCCCAGGGCAGAUAGAGACAGCAGAAACUGGGACUCCUAGGAGGUGGGGGGGGGGGGUCUUCAGGACCACAAGCCCUUGCCUCUACAUCUAGUUACCUGGGAGUGCCACAGCCAACUCAAGCCAACUUUCUGCACACAUACACACACACACACACACACACACACACACACACACACACACACACACCACACCACGCCAGGAUCAGCAUGUUACAUGAAGCCCCAAACUAUACACAUAGACCCUGAAUGUACGCUCAAUCAUGAUGCAUAUAUCCCCAUCAGUACACACUGGCUGUGCACUGAGAAUAUAAGCAAGGCACAGACGGGUAAACCUACUUGCUCACACCCAGUAAGGGGCAGGUUUCAGUCUCAGCGUUAACUUAGAGGUCACGGGGACAGCGGGGACAGAACACCCACAUACACCCACCCAGACUCCUUUCCUCUGCCAACACUGGGGCCGAGGUUGGAGUCACUGCUCAAGAGUGUCACUUGGGUUUUGACCCAGAGGAGUCCUUAGCCUCAGAAGUGAAUCUCAGACGCAGGAAAGUCUGCCCACCCAUUCUGCACCAGGAGAGCCAGGCAAUGGACGGUCAGCCAUUGUGUUUGCGUGCCAGGGGCAAUGCUUUUCUGCCUGUACCAAACACAGAGACAGUGCUUGACCAGGGUGACAGCAAACAAGAGAUGCAUAUGGUUCUAGGAAUAAAGUAAUGUGUGCAGAUGUAUGGGUCCUGACACACAGGCAGGGAGAUGGAGAGCAGGAGACUCCUCUCCAGCUUCUGGGGACGGUAACAAGCUGGCAUGCUAGUUUUUGCUUCUCUUGUUCCAGGAUGGAGGAGACUGUGUGGUUAUGGUGGUUUAUCAUUGAUUCUUGUAGAGUGAAUACAUAAUCAAGCUACCGAAUGAGGGCAUUUGGGCUGCUUUAGGGAGAGACUCUGAGGGUGAGGGUCUGUGUGAGCUGUUACUCCAGGUCUCAAAGGUACGUUCCAAAGCGUCAGUGAAAGUGGUAACUAGACAUACCUGGCCGAUGUAUACAGAUUACACUGGAUAAAAUACAGAUCUGUCAUAGGAACAGGAGCAUCUGCUCCACAGGAGUCCUGCAGAAGACCAGCAGUUUCCAGUUACUGGUGUCCACUCUAGUUGCUGGGGGGAGUGGGAGGAGAGACGAUGGGGGUUGGCAAGACUUUCUUGCAUACACAGCUCCAGAGGUUUGGGGGUUAACUAUCACGUGGAAGAACUACAGAGGUAGGAAAGUGUGCAGACCCUAAGUGAGCUGCCCACCUGUAUGGAGCCAGUGUGGGAAGUGAUCCUUCCAUCAUCCAGGCUCCAGGUCAGUAAAGUGCAGACUCUGCUUGGUGACAUUGCAAAUCUGCUCUCAGUUUCUGAAGGACAAAGCAAAUGUAAAGGUCCUGUCGUCCCAGGUCUCUCCUGUGGGGCGGGAGAAGAAAGUUCAGCCCCCAGGGCUGCAUGGCAGAGUGGGCAGUUGCUCUGUCCCUGGCUGUGCUUUGGUGCCUCCCAGCAUCCUUUUCUCGGUCCACAGGCAGUAACCCACCCUGAUUUUGUGUCUGUUUCUCCUGUUCUCUCCUCCGGUCCUUCCUCUUCAGCUCUUCCUCCAUGCUUUCCCUGUGCCUCAGCUCUUCCACUGAACACGACCACAAAGACCCUGGCUGGAUGCAGGAGUGAAGGCCGAUACAGAUGCUCACAGUGUCUGUGAAGUGGGAGAGCAGCAAGAGAAAGAAAGAAGCAAACGAAAUUCCUGAAUGGAUAGGAGAUGCUACGUCAGCGUCAGCGGUACCCGGUCGCAUCCUCCACUCCACAAGAGAAGAAGAGCUGGGAGAGACCCGCGGCGGCGGCAACGGCGGCGGCGCAGCCACGCGCCAGCAUCGCCUCUUCGCCUCACAGAAGCAAGGAGCAGCCGUCUAGAAGCAGGCUCCCCCAUCGCUCACAGAUGGAUGUCGUCAGAGGAGGCCCGCAUCUCUGGCUUUGGGGGAGAUGCUGUUAUCCCAUGUCACACAGACUCAAGUGAGAAGCCCACGUUACUCAAUGGCUGGACACCCAACGCUCCGUCCAUGGACUCUGUCAUGGAGAAACUUCUUCGCUGGGCGGGUGGGUGCUCCACCCUCCCGCCCUCUCUCUGCCCUGUGGACGUGUGGACCAGUGACGUCCAGCACCACGGACAGCUCCUAGUGGCCUCUGGGUCAGCCAGCUCCACACAGAGGUGUCGGCGCCUGAUGUCUCCCUCGUGGUCACUUUGGUCAUUUCAACCAUCUGUUGAAGGUCCUCUCCUUGUUCUCCAGAGCAGCAUGAGCCAGGCACUGUGGAAUCUCUGUUCAGUGAAAUGUAUGAGGACCUGUAAGCCCUGGUCCACAGCCUUCCAGCCUGAUUCUCCGGUCCUGGACACGGUCAGCAGAAGUUGCACAGUCUUUCUCAUUCCUGGCUCUGGAACCCUUCCCAAGCAUCUCGUCCCGAUCUCUGUCGCUGUCACACCAGCUCUUAGCUCUCCACGGAUGAAGUGAAAGGCAAGAAAGGGUCUACCAGCCAGCUUUCAUCAUUUUAAAGCAAUUCCUCUCCCUGGAUGGUGGGAAACGAAAUGGAGGGUUAAUUAACUUGGUAAGACGUUUAAAUGCCCCUUAAAGACUUGGGGAGUGAGGACAGUGAAAUGGAUAUGCUGGACCCACGUGUGGAAGGAAAAACUGAUUCCCAAAAGUUGUCCUCUGACCUCCACCCAUGUACCACGGCCUGCACACCACCCCCUCAAAUGUAACAAAAAACAAACAAACAAACAAAAAUUCAAAAAAGACGUGGGGAUUUCCAUUCAAUGUCCCCAAAUGUUUUGGAACUUUCUUUUCUUUCCUGUCAGCACCCUAGAGGAGGCAGGAGCCAGGGACUACCAGGGAGGGGCCAUUUCCUAGGCUGGCUGGUGAGGCCUUAGGCCUACUGGGAAGGCUCCAAAGGGUCCCCAAGAACUCCAGCCCCUUCUUUCUAUCUCCCGGCGGAGGGUAAGGAAUGGCUAGCUGCCUUGGCUGGAAGAGUCCUUGGUACUGAGCAGGGCCAGCUGGCUGAGAAGCAGGUGGGGAGGGAAAGGACCCUGCUUAAGAGGGGGCUGGGUGGGAGGGCUGGGUAAUUUAUGAUAUCAUUGUUCCCACCCCUCUUCCCAGCCCCCUGCCACUUUCCUGUUGCUAGGAGACCCUGGCUGGCCCUGUCAUCUGGACUGCUCCUCCCCAGCCAGGGCCAAAGAAGACCUGACCUCACUCUGCGCUCCCCUUCAAGGCGAAGUGUGUUCCCAGACUAAGAAAGGGCUGGCUCCAGCACGCAGAAAUGGACAGAGACAGGGGUGCCACCUGACAGCUUCUCCCCAGAGCUACGGAACGAGGGCCUUGCUUACCCGGUCACUGCCAGCAAGUUGUCCCGCCUGGCCCAUCUAUGUCCCCUGUUGCCUCUCAGCUGGUCCCUAAAUCCUAUCCCAUGUCCAAUAAAGAGUGUUGCAGAUUGAA